UUCUCCACUGCAUUCCCGUGAUGACCCAGGUUCGGUGAAAACAGAUUACUGAAGAAGGUGGGUCCCCGGUUCUUUGAUCUUGGUAGCCAUAGAAAGGAAAAGUUCACAGUGCUAUUCUGUGUUGUUCUGACACGAGAUCAAAGGACAACAACAAGGCCUUGAGGAGGUGCCUUGGGCCUUUGGUUAAGUGCAGGACUGCCAAGAGAAGAAAAGCCUCAACAGAUCUACUCCUCUCCAUUUUCCUUCAGAAAAAAAGCAGGCCUCCAAGAGCCAAGGACCAAACAGGACAAAACAAGAUACAAUAAGACAAGUGCUUUGUUUUUUGUUUUAUGGAUAAAGGCACUGACUAUCUGAGUUCAAUACUUGAGACCUGCGUGGUGGAAGCAGAGAAUCCUACAAGUUGUUCUCUGCCUUCCACAAGCCUCUGCAUAGAUAUAACACAAAUAUCUGGAAACUGCUGAGCCAGUGCUGUCAAGUAAGGCUGCAUGGAACAAGGACCGAAGCAAAGGACAUUGCCACUCACUUUUCACACAAGCUCUUUCCAUGGCAUCGGUCACCUUGAAGUACAUACAGGUGCUAGCGGACAACACGACUCUAACCCUAAUUCUGCACCUAAAGGAGUUAUUUUAAUUCACACACACACACAAAGCUUUAUCAGGUAACAUGGCCGCAGUUGAAGAGGCAAGCGCAGAAGGCAGGUGGCUCUCACUACAGAAAGGGCUGUCAUUUCUCCCUUUAUGCUUUAAAAUUCUCUUCUUGAGAGAAGUGUGGGGGUCUUGGGAGAGAUUAUGUGUUUUUCGAAGGAAUUAUGUUAUGAGACUUGGGAAGGUUCGGUUUUGGCAGAACUUAGUGCCUGCUCUCCUUCAAGAAGAUGAAAAGGAAAGCAGGCUUGGGAGGUGUCUGCUCCUGUGGGAGAAUCCUCUUGUGGUCUGUGGAUGCAGCUUAUUAGGUAGAUCACUUGUUUUACACAUAUAAAACCCUGGGUUUAAUCCCCUGCCCUUCAUAAACGGGAUGAGGCAGUGCACAGCUGUAAUCCUAGCACUCCAGAGGUAGAGGCAGGAGGAUCUGACAUCCAAAGUUUUGCCUGGUUCUUUGGGGAGUUUAAGGUUUGUUUGAAAUAUAUGAAAGCCUGUCUCAAAACAAAGAAACCAAGCCAAACAAAGAAAUAAAAGGCUCCCCACUAAAGGAUCUCUCUGUUGGGGGUCGGGUCGGAAGUGGGAAGGGUCAGGUCUUUUGGUAGAUGCUGCCCUUGAGUUCAGUACUGACCCUAUUUUCCUCACACUCUUAGAGGCGAAAGAAAAUCUCUGGCAGGGAGGCAGGAGACAGAAGUUAUCAUGAGCUUAGUCUGCUUUCAACGUUUCCCCUGUGAAACCAUGAAAGACGGAUGCAUCCUGAGAUUUCUGGUGCCAGUAGCUCACCGAUCCCUAGCUCUGUGUGACAUGGGGGAAGGCCCACGGUUGUGGGGUUUCAGGUCACUUCUCUCAUCUUUCUUUCCUGACAUGACUAAGAGAAAUCCAAACAAAGAAGAGUUCCCUGGGCCUGUUGCCUCUGGCCUAUUUGUCAUACUUGUCUCUGUUUAGAUCUUCUACCAUCUAAUUACACAGAAUGACUUACAGUUGGGUUACUUGAAGAGGGUGAGGCUCCCUCGGUUUCACCUGGGGAUUUCAACAGUUUACCUCACUGUUUGUUACCGUAGUCUACUGUUGCUACUGUUUUGCCAGAUUUUAAGCCUAAUCUAUUAUCAUCUUGGGCUUUUGGCCAAAAUUACAGCCUUGAGAGGAUUUUGUUUCUGCAGACAAUAGGCUUCUUGGAUCCAAAGAGUAUGAACAACUUAUUAGGUGGUCCCAGAAGCCUUUGUGAUUAUGAUGUGUUCUUCCAAAAACAUUCAGUGGGGAUGGCUCACUUGGAGCACAAAGAGCUGAAUUUGAUUCCCAGAACCCAUGUGGAAAAAAACUGGGCAUGUCGGCACUGAGGCUGGGAACCCAGUGCUGGGCAGAUGGAGACAAGCAGCCUAGCUUAUUUGAUGAUUCCAGGCUGGGGAAAGUCCUUGUUUCAAAAACAAGUGGAUCGUACCUUAGGGGUGAUAUUUGGGGUUGUCCUCUGGCCUCCAGACACAUGUGCCUACACGGCAUGCAUGUAUACCCCAACAUACAUGUGUAAUCCCUAACUGAAAACAUCCACACAUCCACAUAUAUACACAUAAAGUAUUCAGCUGCUCAGGUACAAGUGAUUACUGAGAGCUUUCGCUGCUGCCGUUUGGUGAGGGAGAGUUUGUAGAGUUUCCCCAGUGCAGAGAGGAAAAGGCUCAGCAGAGGUGUGGCUCAGCUGCAGGUAGCUCCUCAGGGAUAGGGGGAGACUUGUGCUUGUGCCUUAAAAAACAAACAAACAAAAAAAUCUCACCAUGUAUUUUCCUUGCAUUGAAAAGUUGACAUUCUUUUCUUUGGACUAGAGGAUUCUAGGAAUGGCCUUGACGCAGAGAAGACUGAGGUGAUAAAAAUCUAUUAACCUGGUAGAAGACACCCCUGCAUCUGGCAUUCCAAGAUUUAUAGAGGAUUUCUCUAAAACAUGUACUCACGUGGCUAACAUUAGUCCCAUGUUAUAGAUCAGGAAGGGCAUUCCUGGGAAGAGAUGGGGAAGAGCCUAAAUCCUGAUUGUGAAAAGUCAGUGUCUAAAAUGGAGAAAAAAGUUAUGGAAUUAAUUGGGAGUGUGAGGUAGACAUGAGUAGAUAAAAUUUCCUGUCUCUGCAAAUAUGGGGCUUGGCACAAGCUAACAUAGGCUUUAGGGCAUAAAAAAAUGCCUUAGUUUUUGCCUAUUAGUUAUUGUUUUUGUUUACUAGUGAGAGAGAAGAAGAAAGGAUGUGGAUUUGGGUGGGUGAGGAAGUAGGGAAAAUCUGGGAUUAUUUGGGGGAGAGGA